rnacentral:lncRNA from 1 species
UGGCGCCUGGACCCGGCGGGCGGCUCCGGCCGGCGCUGCGGCUGCGGCUGCUGCUGGCUGCGGUCCUUCAAGCGGUGUCUACAUUCGGGGCAGAGUUUUCAUCAGAAGCUUGCAGAGAGUUAGGCUUCUCCAGCAACUUGCUCUGCAGCUCUUGUGAUCUUCUUGGACAGUUUAACCUGCUUCAGCUGGAUCCUGACUGCAGAAGAUGCUGUCAGGAAGAAGCACAAUUUGAAACAAAAAAGCUUUAUGCAGGUGCUAUUCUUGAAGUUUGUGGAUGAAAAUUGGGGAGGUUCCCUCAAGUCCAAGCUUUUGUCAGGAGUGACAAACCCAAACUAUUCAGAGGACUACAAAUCAAGUAUGUUCGUGGUUCAGACCCUGUAUUAAAGCUCUUGGAUGACAACGGGAACAUUGCUGAAGAACUAAGCAUCCUCAAUGGAAACACAGACAGUUGUAGAAGAAUUCCUGAGUGAAAAGUUGGAGCGCAUAUAAAUCUUGCUUAAAUUUUGUCCUACCUUUUUGUUACUUCAUCAAAUGAAAUAUUUCAGUACCUAGAGAAUAUUUUAGUUUUGCUUCCUUCUGAUCAGUCCUGGUCUCUGAGGCAUUAAACAUCUAAUUAACAGUGAAGUGGCAGCACAGCCCUUGGUAUCUAAGGAGUUGGCAAGCUUAACAAAAACCCAGUUUUCAAUAGAUUUCCAUCCUUCUACAUUUGUUGAUACCACUAAUGAAAUGCUUUGUAAUAGACUUGGCUAUUAUGCAAAUGAUGGUUUGUAAUAAUUGGUCCAGUUUUACAAACAACAGAUUUUUAGAUUAGGAGGUUAAUAAGGGAGAUGCCUACUGUGCCUCUUGCGUGUGCUGGGUGCUCUUUGAAAGCAUCAGCAAAAACUACAAAGCAAAGUAAGAUCUGAGCCUCAACAGAUUGCCUGGUUCUCAUUCUCCCAGCUUUCUUUUUAAUAGAAAUGUUAUAGUUCAUAAUGAAUGUAUUGCAUUAAAACUUUAUGGCUUUAUUAUUGUAAAACAGAUUCAAGAUACAGUAAGAGUGAAACAUUCACAGAGAUUUGCAUUAAUGAAGACUACACAGAAAACCUUCAGGAGGAUUUGUGUGGAUCUGAUAUUUAGCAAAAUUUUGUGUUUCACACUCUUACAGAAAAAUCAGAAAUAAUCAUUUGUUUAAGACCAAAAUAUAAAUAAAGUUUUAAAAAAAAUCAAUGAGAAUUUGAAAUUCUUCUGAUUUAUCCUCAUGUUUAUUCUCAGUACAUUUUUAUUUUUCCAUAGAAGCUCUCCCUAUUUUAUCCAAAUGUUAAAAUGGCUACACUGUGUCAAACUUAUUGUGGGUAAAAUCUCUUUAUACUUGUGUAGCAGCUUCUUGAAGUGCUUUCUUCUGUGAAUGCAUUUUUAUUGAUAUCUCUUUUAAGGAUAGCUUUUAAAAUGCAGAAUUUUUAUGAGCUAUUAAAAAUUAUUUUUCUUGCUUGACGUUCUGUCUGGUGGUUGGUUCAAGAACAUUCAUCCAAAUGAGUUUAGGUCAUUUAAACUUCUUACUAACUUAUCAGAUUAGACUAAUUUUAUUAUGUCAGCUAAAUCUCCAGAUAAAGUCUUAAAAAUCUAGAAACUAAAAAUAAAUUCAGAAUUAAACCAUCUUAAUGAAGGAUAUUUGAAAGUCUUUUAAAGACAACUCUCCCAGGAAAUGUUCAUAGAAUAUUUUUAAGAGAUUGGUUAUUUUUGCUAGCAUUUUAUACUAUGUCCUAUUUUAAGUAUAUUUAUAAAGUCAUGAAGAGAAAAUACUAUGAGUAGCCUUGGCAAACAGAGUAAGAUCUAUUUUUGAUCAUUUAGAGUAAUGAGAGCCAUCGUUUUGAUAGUGCAAGAUCCUGGAUGGUGUGGCACUAAUCCCCAAGGGCCAUUAUUACUUGAGCAAGACGAAGGUGAAGCCAGUCAUGGACAGUGGGGAAAAAUAGACGACGAGGUGCUACCACACACAGAUGAACAGUAGGAUAGAAUGGAUGAAACUUCAAAACUUCUGAGACUGGCACAGGAAACUAAUUGGACUGCUGUCUGGGCAGGAAGAGCCAGUUAAAUGAGUGUCUGGCAUUGGUUUAAAAAAAAGUGAAGUUUAAAAACUAUUCAAGUUAUUAUAUUCAAGUUAUUAUGAGAGAUCAAACGAGGCUAAAGAAUCCCAUAGUAUCUUAGAGCUUGAAGUUCUUGGGUUGAUGAAUAUCCAUCAAGCUCUACUAUGUUAAUUGGGAGGUUCAAAUUAAUCAGCCAAAUUCUACUUAUCACCAGUUCCAAUCUAAGAACAGCUAAAAGCUCUUUAAAAAAAAAAAAAAAAA